GUUUACGGCCAUACCACCCUGAACUCGUCUGAUGUUGGAAGCUAAGCCGGGUUGGGCCUCGUCAGUACUUGGAUGGGAGACCGGCUGGGAAUGGUCCAUGACCC
rnacentral:rRNA from 1 species